AAAGUACUCCCUCCAUCCCAAAAUUCUUGUCUUAGAUUUUUCUAGAUACAGAUGUAUCAAGUCACAUUUUAGUAUUAGAUACAUCCGUAUCUAGACAAAUCUAAGACAAGAAAUUUGGGACAGAGGGAGUAGUUG
rnacentral:pre_miRNA from 1 species